UACGUAGGGGGCAAGCGUUGUCCGGAAUCAUUGGGCGUAAAGCGCGUGUAGGCGGCCCGGUAAGUCCGCUGUGAAAGUCGGGGGCUCAACCCUCGAAUGCCGGUGGAUACUGUCGGGCUAGAGUGCGGAAGAGGCGAGUGGAAUUCCUGGUGUAGCGGUGAAAUGCGCAGAUAUCAGGAGGAACACCAAUUGCGAAGGCAGCUCGCUGGGACGUGACUGA
rnacentral:rRNA from 1 species